GACGAACGCUGGCGGCGCGCCUAACACAUGCAAGUCGAGCGAGAACCGGAGCUUCGGCUCCGGGGACAGCGGCGAACGGGUGAGUAACACGUGGAUAACCUGCCCUCGGCACCGGAAUAGCCCGGGGAAACCCGGAUUAAUGCCGGAUAGCCCCACAUCCCUGCGGGGAACGUGGGAAAAGGUAGCUUCGGCCUCUGGCCGAGGAUGGGUCCGCGGUGGAUUAGCUUGUUGGCGGGGUAAUGGCCCACCAAGGCGACGAUCCAUAGCUGGUCUGAGAGGACGAUCAGCCACACUGGGACUGAGACACGGCCCAGACUCCUACGGGAGGCAGCAGUGGGGAAUCUUGCGCAAUGGGCGAAAGCCUGACGCAGCGACGCCGCGUGCGGGAAGAAGGCCUUCGGGUUGUAAACCGCUUUCAGGAGAGACGAAGCUACUCGGGUUAACAGCCCAGAGGGUGACGGUACCUCCAGAAGAAGCCCCGGCUAACUACGUGCCAGCCGCCGCGGUAAUAC
rnacentral:rRNA from 1 species